AUUAAUUGCAGGAUUUGUAUAGAAACUUCCACUCAAAGAUCAACAAAGUAGAUGAAGAAUGAUAUGACUUGGCAGCCAAACUGACCAAAAAUAACAAGGAGAUUGAGGAACUGAAGAGGUCAGCCAAGUUCAAGAAGCCUGGGGGGGCUCCUCACAGAAGGCAAGUUUAAACUUAAGGACCAACCUCAAACAGGUGAAGAAAGAAGUCAUAGAGGGGGAAGCUGUGGGUGACCAUCGAUGCCAAUGCUGGCAUUAA
ensembl:lncRNA